rnacentral:lncRNA from 1 species
UAGCACAGUAAUCUAAGUUGUCUCUGUAGUAUAAAAAACAGAGCAGAGUGUUUUUGGGGUUCCUCAGUUGCAGUGAGAUGUGAGGCACUUGCAGAGACUCAGUCCACCACCCUGGGCAGCUUUCACCACCCUGGGCAGCUUUUCCGAGACGUAGGGACUGGCUUGCCGUAAUUCAUAGCUUCUGCUGUCCCUUGCUACAUACCUAUCCUAGAUGAAAAUGAGACCAGAAGAUGGAAGAAUCUGGAUCUCAAAAGACUCUCACUCUAUUACCCAGGCUGGAGUGCGGUGGCAUGAUCUCGGCUCACUGCAAACUCUGCCUCCCCAGUUCAAAUGAUUCUUCUGCCUUCUGCCUCAGCCUCCCAAAUAGCUGGAACUACAGCAAGGCCAACUUUUCUACCAGAUAACCCUGACCUCAUCCUGUCAGAAUUGAAUGGACCAAGAAUUGAGCUACCCUAAAAGGCCAGUUUUCUGGAAAUAGUUUGAAGAUACCGACUCAUGGUUAAAUGUUUCACAUUUACCCUCAGAAAUGAGUGCUACUGUUCAGAAACGGAGGUGCCCACUUUGCUUGUGGGAUUUAGGAGGAAAUGCCACACACUGUCAUAGAAAAAAUGGCGUCUCACUCUAUUGCCCAGGCUAGAGUACAAUAGUGCAAUCUUGGCUCACUGCAACCUCCCCCUCCCAGGUUCAAGCCAUUCUCCUGCCUCAGCCUCCCGAGUAGCUAGAACUACAAGCACGUGCACUGUACCCAGCUAAUUUUUUGUAUUUUUAGCAGAGACGGGGUUUCUCCAUGUUGGCCAGGCUGGUCUCGAACUCCUGACCUCAGGUAAUCCACCGCCUCAUCCUCCCAAAAUGCAUUAUCUCUUCCCAAAAUGCAUUAUCUAUUUCAUUAAGAAAAAGGAGAAAGCAACCAUGCUAAGCUUCAAAUAAAAGCAUGUGAGCACACCUGAUGACGCUAGACCCACUGGAAUCUCGCAUAACUCAUCCUGAACGUGUUGGGAAUCAAGUCUCUCAGGAUUAGCCCUGGUAAUCUGAAAGUCACCAGUCAUCAAGAAGUGGCAUCUCUACCAUGUGGUGCAAUCAUAGCCCUGAACUCAAAUUUCUGUCUGAUAUAUUUGAUGUGAUCCCUCCUUUUAUACCCUUUUAACUUCUGCUUGGAGAGACCCACUGACCUUGUAGCUGACUGUCAGAACUUUUCCUUGCCAGGCCAGCAAUAAAUUUGGCAUUGUUUUGGACAUUGA